UAAACUUUUCUCACACGCACAAGCUGCGGUGUUGAAUGGUGUGUCUUAGACCCGGGUGCCUAGUGUGGCUCGGUGCCUUACAAUGAAUUUGGGGAAAGAGUUGUCAAACGAAACGCAUGUUUCUAAUGACCAGCAGUCUGCAACUGUGUCUGAUGGCGAGUUGACGGGCGCCGACCUGAAGGACUGCGUCAGCAACAACAGCCUGAGCAGCAAUGCCAGCCUCCCCAGCGUGCAGAGCUGCCGGCGCCUGCGUGAGAGGAGGGUCGCCAGCUGGGCCGUGUCCUUUGAGCGCCUGCUGCAGGACCCCGUCGGUGUCCGCUACUUCUCUGAUUUUCUAAGGAAAGAAUUCAGUGAAGAAAACAUUUUAUUCUGGCAGGCCUGUGAAUAUUUUAAUCAUGUUCCUGCACAUGACAAAAAGGAGCUUUCCUACAGGGCCCGGGAGAUUUUCAGUAAGUUUCUCUGCAGCAAAGCCACCACCCCGGUCAACAUCGACAGCCAGGCCCAGCUAGCAGACGAUGUGCUCCGCGCACCUCACCCAGAUAUGUUCAAGGAGCAGCAGCUCCAGAUCUUCAAUCUCAUGAAGUUUGAUAGCUACACUCGCUUUCUGAAGUCCCCGCUGUACCAGGAAUGCAUCCUGGCGGAAGUGGAGGGCCGCGCACUGCCGGACUCGCAGCAGGUCCCCAGCAGCCCGGCUUCCAAGCACAGCCUCGGUUCAGACCACUCCAGUGUGUCCACGCCAAAAAAGUUAAGUGGAAAAUCAAAAUCCGGCCGAUCCCUGAAUGAAGAGCUGGGGGAUGAGGAGAGCGAGAAGAAGCGGAAAGGCGCGUUUUUCUCGUGGUCACGGACCAGGAGCACCGGGAGGUCCCAGAAGAAGAGGGAGCACGGGGACCACGCAGACGGUUUGUGGGGUGGCUCCUGGGCUGUGGUGUCCAGGCCAGGCAGCCGCGUCCCCGUCCUGGCGUCGCUCUGGUGGUUGGCGGUGACCUUGGGCCAUGUGUGCAGUGAGAGGCCCUGUUGGCGGGUGGAGGAAGCUUCUCUGAAUGAAUAAGGAAUGCCGCUGUGUCUGGGGACACGACCUGUCAGCCAGCCAGAGGGCAGCAGGGCUGCUCCAGAAUCUUCCAGAGAAAAGGGCUCAAUACAUUUCAGCCCAUGCCUACCUCAGGCCUACCCCACAUAGUGGCGGCUGAACAUCUGUGUCCUCUCCUGCUUUUCACUAUCCAAGUAAUAGGUGUUUUUGGUAGAAAAUUUGGAAAAUACAAUCAAGUAAAAAUAGGAACACACAAAUGUGCUAUUGGGUGUCUCCCCCAAUGGCAGCUUGGUUCUCUGCCAGGGCUUUUUCCUAGGUAGAUGUCAGGGUCCAUGUGCCUUUUACACGUGUGUGGUUUUUUAAAAUGUAGUAGCAUAGUUGGAGUAGUGAGCAUUUUUCAAGUUAAGAUUGGUAUUGGAUAUUGGGGGCUGCCCAUUCUGGAUGCUCUGUCCCUUUUUUCUUUGCACAUCUGAGACUUCCUGUAACAAAAGUUAGGCAGAGAGACGGCUCCCAGGGCACCAGGGGGUGGGGCUGCAGGGCCCUUGGCGGCUCCUAGCCGAGCUCCAGACACCAGCCGGGUGGUGUUGGCGGGUGGCAA
rnacentral:sRNA from 1 species